CCCUUAGACGUUCUGGGCCGCACGCGCGCUACACUGACGAAGGCAACGAGCUUUCCUUUACCGAAAGGUACGGGUAAUCUUUUGAAACUUCGUCGUGCUGGGGAUAGAUCCUUGCAAUUUUUGAUCUUAAACGAGGAAUGCCUAGUAAGCGCAAGUCAUCAACUUGCGUUGAUUACGUCCCUGCCCUUUGUACACACCGCCCGUCGCUACUACCGAUUGAAUGGUUUAGUGAGGCCUUCGGAUCCGCGACUCGUUUGUGGAGAAGUUGGACAAACUCGGUCAUUUAGAGGAAGUAAAAGUCGUAACA
rnacentral:rRNA from 1 species